UACGUAGGGUGCGAGCGUUGUCCGGAAUUACUGGGCGUAAAGAGCUCGUAGGUGGUUUGUCGCGUUGUUCGUGAAAUUCCCUGGCUUAACUGGGGGCGUGCGGGCGAUACGGGCAGACUGGAGUACUGCAGGGGAGACUGGAAUUCCUGGUGUAGCGGUGGAAUGCGCAGAUAUCAGGAAGAACACCAAUGGCGAAGGCAGCUCUCUGGGACGGUACUGACGCUGAGACGCGAAAGCGUGGGGAGCGAACAGG
rnacentral:rRNA from 1 species